rnacentral:tRNA from 1 species
GGGACCAUAGCUCAGUGGUAGAGCGGACGACUCAUAAUCGUUUGGUCGCUGGUUCGAAUCCAGCUGGUCCCACAA